rnacentral:rRNA from 1 species
AUUAGAUUAAAAACCAAUGCCCUUCGGGGCUCUCUGGUGAUUCAUGAUAACUUCUCGAAUCGCAUGGCCUUGCGCCGGCGAUGGUUCAUUCAAAUUUCUUCCCUAUCAACUUUCGAUGUUUGGGUAUUGGCCAAACAUGGUUGCAACGGGUAACGGAGGGUUAGGGCUCGACCCCGGAGAAGGAGCCUGAGAAACGGCUACUACAUCCAAGGAAGGCAGCAGGCGCGCAAAUUACCCAAUCCCGACUCGGGGAGGUAGUGACAAUAAAUACUGAUACAGGGUUCUUUCGGAUCUUGUAAUUGGAAUGAGUACAAUUUAAAUCCCUUAACGAGGAACAAUUGGAGGGCAAGUCUGGUGCCAGCAGCCGCGGUAAUUCCAGCUCCAAUAGCGUAUAUCAAAGUUGUUGUGGUUAAAAAGCUCGUAGUUGAACCUUGGGCCUGGCUGGCCGGUCCGCCUCACCGCGUGUACUGGUCCGGCCGGGCCUUUCCCUCUGUGAAACCCUAUGCCCUUCACUGGG